UACGGACUGAGAUAAUGGUUAACAGAGACAAACGGGGGCAUUUGUAUGGUCCCGUGAGAGGUGAAAUUCUUGGACCGUGGCCAGACAAACUACAGCGAAAGCAUUUGCCAAGAAUGUUUUUAUUAAUCAAGAACGAAAGUCAGAGGUUCGAAGGCGAUCAGAUACCGCCCUAGUUCUGACCGUAAACGAUGCCAACUAGCGAUCCGCCGAUGGAAAUUAUAUUGCCUUGGUGGGGAGCUUCCCGGAAACGAAAGUCUUCCGGUUCCGGGGGAAGUAUGGUUGCAAAGCUGAAACUUAAAGGAAUUGACGGAAGGGCACCACCAGGAGUGGAGCCUGCGGCUUAAUUUGACUCAACACGGGGAAACUCACCCGGCCCGGACACUGUGAGGAUUGACAGAUUGAUAGCUUUUUCAUGAUUCAGUGGAUGGUGGUGCAUGGCCGUUCUUAGUUCGUGGAGUGAUUUGUCUGGUUUAUUCCGAUAACGAGCGAGACUCUAACCUACUAAAUAGUUGGUACAUACUCUUAGUGUAUACAGCUUCUUAGAGGGAUUUGCGGCGUUCAGCCGAAAGAAAUUGAGCAAUAACAGGUCUGUGAUGCCCUUAGAUGUCCGGGGCUGCACGCGCGCUACACUGGCAAAAUCAACGUGCUUGUCCUACCCUGAAAGGGGCGGGUAAACCAUUGAAAAUUUGCCGUGAUUGGGAUCGGAAAUUGCAAUUAUUUUCCGUGAACGAGGAAUUCCAAGUAAGUGCGAGUCAUCAGCUCGCGUUGAUUACGUCCCUGCCCUUUGUACACACCGCCCGUCGCUGCCCGGGACUGAGCCAUUUCGAGAAAUUUGGGGACCGUUGAUUUAAUUUUUCUAAAUUACUUUGAUGGAAACCAAUUUAAUCGCAGUGGCUUGAACC
rnacentral:rRNA from 1 species